rnacentral:lncRNA from 1 species
UUUGGAUAUAUGGAAGAAUUUUUUUAAGGUCAGGGUGGUGAGACACUGCAACGGGCUGCUGAAAGAAGUUCUGUAUGCCCAGUCAUUGAAAGUGUUCAAGGUCAGCUUGGAGAGAGCUUUGAGCAACGUGAUUUAGUGAAAGAUGUUCCUGCCUGUGGCAGGGAGUUGGACCAGCUGAUCCUUAAUGCAUCCCAAACCCUGAUAUGCUUUAUGAUUAUAUGAUUAUGCACCUACCUGCAGGGGGACACCAUGAUGAAGAGCGACCACAGCUGAGGGCCUGGAGUGGUGAUGCCAGCUGGGUUAGGUGAAGGGUGGGCAUAUAGGGAACGGUGAUUCUGAAAGAACCUGCCCAGGAGCUUUCAAAGAAUUGGCGAUGCCUUCAGUCUCCUCAGAGGACGCCCUGGAAAAGCUGACCCAGGCCGUUAUUUCCACGUCUCUGAUGCUUCUCCUCAUCUCUGGACUAAUUUGACCUUCUCUACUGACUCCAAACACAGUCUAUCUGUCUUUGCUGCCUGGGGAUUGUGCCUGUGGCUGGUGCCCAAAACCUCAGCUGAAAUCUGUGUGCAAGAGGGGGAACACAACAGUUUAUUCAAGCUCCAUUGUCCCCACCAUCUUUCAUGUGUCUUUCACAUCAAGGUAAAAAGAGUCUCAUCAGUUUUCUUCUUUAUAACAAAGCAAAUAAUAUUCUGAAAGUUUGAGCAAUGCCUUUCAAUACAGGAACAGCUCCAGAAAUGUCCUACAAAAGCCAUUUUUCUAAUAGAGAAGGCUGCUACCUGACUGUUCUGUAACAAUCAAGGAAAUUCAUGAGUCCCUAUUUCCCCCUAGAAGACAUGAAGUCUCAGGAUCCCCUAAUAAAUUUCUUUCCAAUCAGGCCUGAAGAAAUCA